rnacentral:tRNA from 1 species
GCGCGAGUGGUGAAACUGGUAGACACACCAGCUUGAGGGGCUGGGGCCCGCAAGGGUGUGGAGGUUCGAGUCCUCUCUCGCGCACCA